GACGUAGGGUGCAAGCGUUGUCCGGAUUUAUUGGGCGUAAAGAGCUCGUAGGCGGCUUGUUGCGUCGACUGUGAAAACCCGCGGCUUAACCGCGGGCUUGCAGUUGAUACGGGCAGGCUAGAGUUCGGUAGGGGAGACUGGAAUUCCUGGUGUAGCGGUGAAAUGCGCAGAUAUCAGGAGGAACACCGGUGGCGAAGGCGGGUCUCUGGGCCGAUACUGACGCUGAGGCGCGAAAGCGUGGGGAGCGAUCCGG
rnacentral:rRNA from 1 species